AUAAACUGAAGGCUUGGAUUGCAGGCGUAGUCCACAUCUAUGCCAUUGUCUGGUGGACACUCCCGCAAUGUAUCCUGGUGUUGUGCAGGCAGAAGAUGAGGACAGAGGCAAACAAAAAUGGGGUUGAAAUCUUCUGGAUACAGAACAUCUGGUCUCUUACUGAAGCAAUGAGUAUCCUGUAGAUGACCUUACCUUCAUAAUGCCAUUCCAGUUGUCGCCCGUGGAGACUUGAAACAAGGUAAGGAAGGCCAUGCCAAAGUUCUCAAAAGUAGCGUGACGACUCAUACCCUCACAUGGGUAGUCUUCAUUGCAAACUGAGGAUUAAAGUAAUUUGGGUGAAUGGAGGGAGAGAAGAAGUCACGGAUCCCGGGUGAGGAAAGAGGUAAAAAGAUCAAAGAUGAGAGAAAGGAAAAAUGAAAAACAGAGCAGGGAUAACAAAAGAAGGAAAAAAUAAUAAAUAUCGAUGUAAAAGAGAAAAAAAAGGCAUUAACAUGUUACUUACUUACCCAACAAUCAGUACUUAUCAUGACAUUGCUCCCAAAUACUGCAGCAAGCAUACACCGUUACUGUUGCUAAGCUGCCUGGAUGACUGUCCAAACAAGACAACUCAGUGUGGGCACAGUCUGUUAUUAAAUCAGUAGCAAUGUGACCAAACACUCUAUUUGUCUUUGAGCUUAUAUCCCAAGAUAAUCUUUGGAAUGGCCUCAAGAAAGCAACGCUUGCAUUUGCCACUAAUCCUUUCUCCUGCACAAGGGAAAUGUGACAGUUUGGAGGAUGUAUCUUCCAACUUCAAUGUGUAUAUUUUAGGAUAGUGCUUAUGUAUCAGAACAUUGGAAAGUGGGUCUGACUGCAGGAGAGAAAACUGAAUAAAGGAGAGAGAGAAAAUAAGGAGAUUCUCAUAAGAAAGUUUAUACAAGUCCUCACGCUUUUAUGUUCACUAUAAUGCCUGAAAACUCUGAGUGAUGAUGUUUGGACAAUAUGUUCUUCUAUAUAUAAAUAUAACUGUAUGUUUUUGUGUCUGUUAUGUUUUAAGAACUCAGGCAUAGAAAAUAAAAAGAAGUUUUACUUGAUAUAAUCUUUGUAGCAUCACGAUUGACUUCAUGUGUACUCACCAAGUUCUCCGAAAAGCUCUACUCCUAAGGCGGCGUAGAUGAAAAACAGUAGCAUAAAGAGCAGGCCCAGGUUACCCACCUGCAAUACACACACAUAAAGAUAAACAUCUUUCAAUGCACAUGUUGUAAACCAUUUGACAGCAUUCUAGCAUCUGUAAUGACCAAGUUCUCUCUAAACAGCAUUGUGGCUUGGUUUUAUGCCCCGGCUUCAUUAUAGACUCAAUAUCUAAUGCACACCUCUUCUAUUUUAGUUAACAGGAUAAAAACCCAUGAACCCUAUUCCAGUCAGCAACCAACAAUUGAUUCACUGAUUAAUCAUUUAGCCUAUAAAUUCCACAGAAUUGUGAAAAAUGCCUAACACAAGUUCUCAGAGCCCAAGGUGACAUGUGAAAUGUCUCUUUUUUGUGAAGCUGAUAGUCCAAAGCCAAUUAUUUGAUUCAAAAUUAUACAAAACACAAAAAGCAGCAGAUCCUCACAUUUCAAGAGCUGAAACCACCACAAAAAUGCACAAAGAACUACAAAUUGUUCCUUGUGUUCUGCUUCCAUUUCUCUAUGCUUAGCUCUGCAAACCACGGCAUAACUUCCUCUGAGACUCUGAACCCCUGAUGCUGUUGUGAAUUUUUGAGUUUGGGGUUUUGAGACUUGGCUCGGUUCCACCACAUAACUGCCUUUAGUAACCGCAAUUUAAUGGUGAUGAUGAUGUUGCAUGGUAAAUGCUCAGGGCUAAAUAUAAUCCCAUUACAGGGAUGAAAACCCAGUAUACUAUUCACUGUCUUUAACACGGUUCCACUGGGAAUGAGAAAAUGCACUGACAAACGGCUGCUAUAAUUAUACUACAUGUGUUAUAAAUCACUCUAUCUGUUUUUCAGGGGGAAAACACUUAAAAUACGCUGUUUACUUUGCAGGGUUCAGAAAGAGUGCAUCAACAUUGACAGAGCUUGUUAAGCUGCUAUGUAAAACUAAAAAAGAGUACACCUGGUAGAAAGAUCACAAUGAAAAGUUUUUUAUAAUAGUCCUUUAUUUGGAGCAAAAGCUCUCAGUAAAUAGGAGCCAAGUCAAACAACUGUGGUUGAAUUGAAUUUAGAUUGCAUUAAAUUGAAAAACAAUGGGAUUUCAAACCAAUGCAAAAGAAAAAAUACAGUAGGUAGAACUGCAUUUAUUAGUAGCUCCUGUCCUCUCCCCUCCUUUGAAAUUUACAACAGUGAUACUGAUUGGUGUAAUCAGCAAAUACUUGCCAAGUAUUCGUCAUUAUUUGCAUUUUCAUGCUACCAAAGGUCUUAAAAUAAAUGGGCUUGCUAAUAAAUGAAAUUCAACUGUAUACUUAAAGAAAAGAAAAAAAAAUCUGCUCUCAUCUAGUACCAUGGAAAUGAAUACUGUGGAUGUAGACAAAUAUGCCCUGUUCCAUACAGUACAGUGAGUCUCUUUGGACUACAAGUAAUGGAGGUAAUUGCUGUACAAUCUUUCACUUGGAGUGCUGCAAUAAUUUUAGAUGUGACUGUUGGGGAGGUCUUGCCUCAAGUAUCUCUAUGUUACUGCUAUACUGCCUGGAGUGCUUAACAGUCUGUGCUUCAUAAUGGCCAGGGUCUUCAUGGAAUUAAGGAUAAGGAUGAAUGCACUUUUGAGAAAGAUGAGUUUAUGAAGGACUUAGUAGUGCAAUCUAUGAAAAUGUGCAGUAUAUUACAAUAGCCAACUCUAUACUAGAUGAACAUGAGCUUGACAAUUAGUUUAAGCUAAUUUAUGCACAUAUAUUCAAAGAUUAUGUUCUGUUUUAUUGUUCUCAUUAUUUCAUUUGAAAAGAAGAACAAACAUUCACAUCAUUCAUUCAUUUUAAAACUAAUUGCAAACUGCUCUGUUUCACAGGGGGCAGCUCUGAUGCCUCCCUGAAGAAAAAAUGACACUCCAUGUGGUGUCCACAUCUGCCGUGGGCUAUUCAGGACCAUUCUCAGCCAUUCCCAGGGAAGAGAUAAAACAACUGGUUCAACUUUAGUGCCAACAUGAUGAAGGGCUCUUGAUGUUAGUGAAUGGUGUGUUGCAGCCAUUUUGCAUUAGCUGAAGAGGAGAGGAUAAUGGUGGAUGCUGGUGGGUAAAAUGAUCUUGCUUACUGUGUCUUUGUAAAGAAAAGUAAUGAAAAUGUGUUUCUCUUCACGUCAAAUGGUGUAAGUGUGCAGAUCCCUCAUUAUAUCUCCAUGUCUUGUCAUGGCCCAUUAAAUCUAUAAACUUCUUGCAAA